rnacentral:rRNA from 1 species
AAAUUGAAGAGUUUGAUCAUGGCUCAGAUUGAACGCUGGCGGCAGGCCUAACACAUGCAAGUCGAACGGUAACAGGAAGCGGCUUGCUGCUUUGCUGACGAGUGGCGGACGGGUGAGUAAUGUCUGGGAAACUGCCUGAUGGAGGGGGAUAACUACUGGAAACGGUGGCUAAUACCGCAUAACGUCGCAAGACCAAAGAGGGGGACCUUCGGGCCUCUUGCCAUCAGAUGUGCCCAGAUGGGAUUAGCU